CAGCUUGAGGCAGGUCGGGAGCUGAGCGGGCCACUCUGACAGAUGCGACACUUACCGCGACGUGACGGCGCAGCGGCUCCACGGCGGGCCACGAACCCGCGAGCCUCGGACCGGCGCUUGCAGAAAAGUGCACUCGACACCGGCGAGGCAAUUCUCCUAACUCCUUGGGCGACGCUGCGGUUCCUGCUGAGGCCAACAGAUGGCUCCAGCUGCUUGAAAGCUCCCCGCGGCCGGCUAAGAAAACGGUUGCGAGGCAACGCUGGCUGGCGACGCCGUGUCUCUGCCGCUGUAGGGUUUCCAGAUACAUCACCGGCUCUCAAAGACAGAAUCUGACAGCGACUAUUCAGUGAAUAAAACACACAGUUCUUUUAA